AGGAGCUUGCUCUAGUACGUACACAAUCUUCUCAAUUGUCAUGAAUAUGUUGAGAUUACGGUAUCAUGUUCGAAAGUUAUGGCCCUCUAGACAAUGUUUGUCCAAGAGUUGGGCAAAUGCUGAUCCAUACAUAUCUACAAAUACAUAUAGCUAAGUGUUAGAUUGAUUUUAGAUUUACCAUUGACUCGGGUCUUUAAGUCAAAAGGUAACCCCC
rnacentral:lncRNA from 1 species